GGGGGUGUAGCUCAACUGGUAGAGCGUUUGAAUGGCAUUCAAAAGGUAAGGGGUUCGACCCCCCUCAUCUCCA
rnacentral:tRNA from 1 species